rnacentral:rRNA from 1 species
GAGAUGAGUUCUCCCUGAGACUAUAAGUCUCCUGAAGGAACGUUGAAGACGACGACGUUGAUAGGUCGGGUGUGUAAGUGUAGCGAUACAUUGAGCU